UACGGGGGGGGCAAGCGUUGUUCGGAAUUACUGGGCGUAAAGGGCUCGUAGGCGGCCAACUAAGUCAGACGUGAAAUCCCCAGGCUCAACCUGGGAACUGCGUCUGAUACUGGAUGGCUUGAAUUCGGGAGAGGGAUGCAGAAUUCCAGGUGUAGCGGUGAAAUGCGUAGAUAUCAGGAGGAACACCGAUGGCGAAGGCAGCUCGCUGGGACGGUACUGACGCUGAGACACGAAAGCCAGGGGAGCAAACGGG
rnacentral:rRNA from 1 species